ensembl:miRNA MIR302B microRNA 302b
CCCCUUCUACUUUAACAUGGAGGUACUUUCUGUGAUUAAAAAAAAGUAAGUGCUUCCAUGUUUUGGUAGGAGU